rnacentral:rRNA from 1 species
GGAAGGCCACUUCGGUGGUACUCGAGCGGCGAACGGGUGAGUAACACGUGAGUAAUCUGCCCUUGGCUUCGGGAUAGCCACCGGAAACGGUGAUUAAUACCGGAUAUGACCGUCUGCCGCAUGGUGGGUGGUGGAAAGUUUUUUCGGCCAGGGAUGUGCUCGCGGCCUAUCAGCUUGAUGGUGAGGUAAUGGCUCACCAUGGCUUCGACGGGUAGCCGGCCUGAGAGGGUGACCGGUCACACUGGGACUGAGACACGGCCCAGACUCCUACGGGAGGCAGCAGUGGGGAAUAUUGGACAAUGGGCGGAAGCCUGAUCCAGCAACGCCGCGUGAGGGAUGACGGCCUUCGGGUUGUAAACCUCUUUCAGCAGGGACGAAGCGCAAGUGACGGUACCUGCAGAAGAAGCACCGGCCAACUACGUGCCAGCAGCCGCGGUAAUACGUAGGGUGCGAGCGUUGUCCGGAAUUAUUGGGCGUAAAGGGCUCGUAGGCGGUUUGUCGCGUCGGGAGUGAAAACCAGGUGCUUAACACCUGGCUUGCUUUCGAUACGGGCAGACUAGAGGUAUUCAGGGGAGAACGGAAUUCCUGGUGUAGCGGUGAAAUGCGCAGAUAUCAGGAGGAACACCGGUGGCGAAGGCGGUUCUCUGGGAAUGACCUGACGCUGAGGAGCGAAAGUGUGGGGAGCGAACAGGAUUAGAUACCCUGGUAGUCCACACCGUAAACGUUGGGCGCUAGGUGUGGGGUCCAUUCCACGGAUUCCGUGCCGCAGCUAACGCAUUAAGCGCCCCGCCU